rnacentral:rRNA from 1 species
GAUGAACGCUGGCGGCGUGCCUAAUACAUGCAAGUCGAGCGAACAGACGAGGAGCUUGCUCCUCUGACGUUAGCGGCGGACGGGUGAGUAACACGUGGAUAACCUACCUAUAAGACUGGGAUAACUUCGGGAAACCGGAGCUAAUACCGGAUAAUAUAUUGAACCGCAUGGUUCAAUAGUGAAAGACGGUUUUGCCGUCACUUAUAGAUGGAUCCGCGCCGCAUUAGCUAGUUGGUAAGGUAACGGCUUACCAAGGCAACGAUGCGUAGCCGACCUGAGAGGGUGAUCGGCCACACUGGAACUGAGACACGGUCCAGACUCCUACGGGAGGCAGCAGUAGGGAAUCUUCCGCAAUGGGCGAAAGCCUGACGGAGCAACGCCGCGUGAGUGAUGAAGGUCUUCGGAUCGUAAAACUCUGUUAUUAGGGAAGAACAAAUGUGUAAGUAACUAUGCACGUCUUGACGGUACCUAACCAGAAAGCCACGGCUAACUACGU